ACAGACUGCAGCUUGUUGUGGCCAGUGAGUUGGCAAGUGGUCGGAGGGUCUCAAUUCGGCGGGAGCUAUGGUUGAGAUGAGGAGUUGGUUUUCCUGGCUGAGAUUUACACUGAAGACUGGUCCCAGACCUAGGAGCAAAAGGAGGAGGAGUUUUAGCUUAGGGGGCCAAGAGUCCCUGGGCUUGCCCUGAAUGAUCCCGGCAGGACACGUGCCGUGCUUGAUCUCCCUGCGGCCGGUAACACCGAGAGCCGCCCAGGCUGGCACCAGCGAGCAGAGCCAUACUGCGGAGCUUGGGGUUCAUCAGGGAAUGAAAAUCACAGAAAAUUCUCCAAAGCUUUGGAUGGAUCUCUGUUAAACACACAUACGCUGGACCCGUUUUAUCGACUCAAAGCCUGUGCAAACUUCAUGGCUAUACAAAUUGUUUGGUGUACCUAAAGAAAGCAACAGAAAUUUCACCCAGUUAAGAGGACAGAGAGUUUUCAAGGUCAAAUCAAUGAGCCCUGUCGGAAGGAGGGCAGAGCCGAUUUCGAGAACACUCCGCCUGCGGAGGCCCCGAGGAGAGCUCACCUUGCCG